GACGAACGCUGGCGGCGUGCUUAACACAUGCAAGUCGAACGAGAAUCUAUGGAAAGAGGAUUCGUCCAAUUGAAAUAGAGGACAGUGGCGGACGGGUGAGUAACGCGUGAGGAACCUGCCUUUCAGAGGGGGACAACAGUUGGAAACGACUGCUAAUACCGCAUAACGCAUAGAGGUCGCAUGGCUUUUAUGCCAAAGAUUUAUCGCUGAAAGAUGGCCUCGCGUCUGAUUAGCUAGUGUGAGGUACGGCCACCAAGGCGACGAUCAGUAGCCGACUGAGAGGUUGAACGGCCACAUUGGGACUGAGAUACGGGCCCAGACUCCGUACGGGAGGCAGCAGGUGGGGAAUAGUU
rnacentral:rRNA from 1 species